GAUGAACGCUGGCGGCGUGCCUAAUACAUGCAAGUCGAGCGAACAGACGAGGAGCUUGCUCCUCUGACGUUAGCGGCGGACGGGUGAGUAACACGUGGAUAACCUACCUAUAAGACUGGGAUAACUUCGGGAAACCGGAGCUAAUACCGGAUAAUAUAUUGAACCGCAUGGUUCAAUAGUGAAAGACGGUUUUGCUGUCACUUAUAGAUGGAUCCGCGCCGCAUUAGCUGGUUGGUAAGGUAACGGCUUACCAAGGCAACGAUGCGUAGCCGACCUGAGAGGGGGAUCGGCCACACUGGAGCUGAGACACGGUCCAGACUCCUACGGGAGGCAGCAGUAGGGAAUCUUCCGCAAUGGGCGAAAGCCUGACGGAGCAACGCCGCGUGAGUGAUGAAGGUCUUCGGAUCGUAAAACUCUGUUAUUAGGGAAGAACAAAUGUGUAAGUAACGAUGCACGUCUUGACGGUACCUAAACAGAAAGCCACGGCUAACUACGU
rnacentral:rRNA from 1 species